ACGAACGCUGGCGGCGUGCCUAAUACAUGCAAGUCGAACGCAUUUUCUUUCACCGUAGCUUGCUACACCGAAAGAAAAUGAGUGGCGAACGGGUGAGUAACACGUGGGUAACCUGCCCAUCAGCGGGGGAUAACACUUGGAAACAGGUGCUAAUACCGCAUAAUUCCAUUUACCGCAUGGCAGAUGGAUGAAAGGCGCUUUUGCGUCACUGAUGGAUGGACCCGCGGUGCAUUAGCUAGUUGGUGGGGUAACGGCCUACCAAGGCUGCGAUGCAUAGCCGACCUGAGAGGGUGAUCGGCCACACUGGGACUGAGACACGGCCCAGACUCCUACGGGAGGCAGCAGUAGGGAAUCUUCGGCAAUGGACGCAAGUCUGACCGAGCAACGCCGCGUGAGUGAAGAAGGUUUUCGGAUCGUAAAACUCUGUUGUUAGAGAA
rnacentral:rRNA from 1 species